UACGUAGGUGGCAAGCGUUGUCCGGAAUCAUUGGGCGUAAAGAGCGUGUAGGCGGUCCGGUAAGUCCGCUGUGAAAGUCGGGGGCUCAACCCUCGAAUGUCGGUGGAUACUGUCGGGCUAGAGUGCGGAAGAGGCGAGUGGAAUUCCUGGUGUAGCGGUGAAAUGCGCAGAUAUCGGGAGGAACACCAGUGGCGAAGGCGACUACCUGGCCUGUUCUUGACGCUGAGGCGCGAAAGCUAGGGGAGCAAACGGG
rnacentral:rRNA from 1 species